UACGGAGGGUGCAAGCGUUAUCCGGAUUUACUGGGUUUAAAGGGUGCGUAGGCGGGUAGGUAAGUCAGUGGUGAAAUCUUCGAGCUUAACUCGGAAAUUUGCCGUUGAUACUAUUUAUCUUGAAUAUCGUUGAGGUUUGCGGAAUAUGUCAUGUAGCGGUGAAAUGCUUAGAGAUGACAUAGAACACCUAUUGCGAAGGCAGCAGGCUAAACGAACAUUGACGCUGAGGCACGAAAGCGUGGGGAUCAAACAGG
rnacentral:rRNA from 1 species